GGGUAAGUUGGCGCUGGGGUGGGGAGGGUCCUGGUAGGCAUGGGGAGCAAGGGGAGGGCCGCCCUUGUUGGCUUGUCUGAGGGGAACAGAAUGGGCCUGUGCCUCACUGGACUCCAUGGUGGGAGUCAGGACAUGAGCGACCCCAUUCAAUAGCUUGACUCCCUCAAAGGAGUCAGGGACUGCCCUCAUCCCUACCAUGGGGCACAGAAAGGGCAGAGGAGGAAGAGUGUUGGGGAGAGUUAUGGGGCUCAGGGAUGCUGCCAGGGCCCACCCCUCUGAGGAAAAAUAAGACAGAACAUUAAGGAAACGCAAGGAGUCCACGCGUCUCUGCAUUCCAAGCCCUUGCACCCGAACUCCCAACAAUAACAGGGCGCUCUGAGACCUACCAGAUGUACGCAAUGAAUAUCUUUAUUUCCUUAUUUAUUUUUAGGUUUAUGGGAUUGUCCGGCUCCCUUUGAAGAGCAGGGAUCAUUAUCCCCAUUUUACAGAUGGGGAAACAAAGGCCUGAGAAACAUGGGGAUUCAGCCAAUGUGGCUGGUGCCUAAGCUGGGAUACCCAGGUACCCAGGGUGUCAGUCCAGAGUAUCCAAAAAAUGGUCUUGGUGAUCCUGUGGAUUACUAGACCCACUCAUGAACAAGAACCAUGGAAGGUCAGGGUGAGUGGGAGGGAAAACAGGUGAGACUACAAACAGAGAGAUUGAGGAGAAAGCAGUAGGGUUGUGGUUCCACUAAACUACAGUGCAGGCUUGGGAUUUAAUUGGGUUCUGGAUGUGGGCUAAUGUUAGAGCUGGGGUUAAGUUUGGGGUUAGUUGAAUUAUGAAUGAGGUUGAGGUCAGAUUUGAGGUUGGGAUUAGAGUUAAGGUUGGGAUUAGGGUUAGAAAUACAGCUAGAAUCGAGGCUCGGGUUUAUGGCUGGGGUUGUGUUACAAUAAGGAAUAGAGUUUUAGUUUCAUUUAGAGCUCUGCCUGGGAAUACAGUUAGGGCUACAUCAAAUGCUGGGUUUAGAUUGAUUUAGGAUCGGGGUUAUCACUGGGUUAGAACUGAGUUUGAGGUUGACGUUGAAAUAGGCUGUGGUUAGGAUUGGAACGUGGUUUAAAGACACGUAAGCAGCGGGAGUUGGUGGGGAUCAAAGAUGAGGUUUUAUUUCUAAUAUAGAAAGACUUCAGCCUCCAUCUGCUAAAUCCAGGUUUGGCUAGAAUUUUCAACCCUUAGUGCAGGGAGACUACUAGUAGCACAUGUUGAUUGGGGUCCCAAGACUUGGAGGAGGAAGCCAAACGUACACAAGCCCAUCUAAGGGGUGUGAGGCAAUUAAAUCCCAUACAGAAUGGACUCUCUGAAGUCCUGUCCCACUACUAAAGCUCACCACCUGGCCAAGCUCCAGGAAAAGCAUUUGGGGAGGAGAUGUGGGAAGCUAUUGACAAUGAGUGGGGCUCUGACACCAAACCGAACUAGAAGAUGGGGUCCAUCAGAGGGAGUCUUACUGAGUGGGGAGGAAGGGUGGUCUGGAUUUGGAGUCCUCAGGACAUGGGAGUUGGGAGAAACUGAGAGUCUACAUGCUCCUAGAACAGCCACUUUAUGGGGCAUCACAUGGGGGUCUUUCAAAGCCUGAAAGGGCAGAGUGCCAUUGUUGUUCCCCCUUGACUCUCUGAGGCUUAAUUGCUACCUCCUUGCAAUUUGAGUCCUGUAAAAGAAGCUGUCAGCCUUCUAGCCCUAUACCCUGAGCCCUGCAGGGUUUUCGGGGAGGGCAGUGGUGGGGAGGCUGUGGAUGGGGUGAAGGCAUUGGGAUGUCAGCAUAGUUUCCAAAGUGUAUAUCGCAGCCCCACAGUCCCCUCCCUCUGGGACCAGCUCACAGUCUGUAUUUCUCUCUGGGCCGUAUCCUCAGCAGUGGAAGAGGGCCCCACUCUUAGGAAGAUCCCUAUCCCAACUCCUCCCUCUCAUUUUUCCCCAGCCAGUCUCCACCCCAAAUCUCUCAUUUCCCCACCCACUUCCUUUUCAAGUUUUAUAAAGGUCUGGUCAAGGAGACUACUGGGGUUCCCCCUGUGACCCCAGAGAGAGAGAAUAAAGAGAUUGGGAGAGAUAGUGAUGAGUUAAGGGGCAAAGACAGAGACUGGGACAGAGACAGACAGAAAGACACAUGGUCUAAAUGGCCCCUCCAGAGACUCAGAGGGAAACAGAGGAGGCAGAGCGCCCAGGCCACGAGCUGGGAACCAACACAAAUUUCCGAAAGGGCCCCCUGCUUUUUCCUGAGAAAUCCAUGACUCUCCAGGGAAGAAUGGCCCUGGUUUGACUGGUAUUUGCUUCUAUUCUAAGACAAUAACAGAAAAUCAAAGACAGGCCUAGAAAGGAGUAAACAGGGAGAUACAGGAGGUAGGAAGAGGCUGGACAAAAUCUCAGAGAAGGCCACAGACUGCUUCCAGUAUGAAGUGCAGCCCAGCCCCAGAACCUUUCAGGGAAGGACAGGCAGAGGGCUUGGGCUGCCUACUUUUCCUCCAAAGCCUAUUCUUCCUCCAAAGUCCCUUUCACAGCAACUCCACCCCAGCCCUCUAAGCCCUGCCCUUCCCUGCCUGGACUUGCCCACCCCAACCCCUCUCACUAGCCGCCAGACUCCCUGGGCUCAGGCUCAAUCAAGCUCCCCACAACCCCUGCUUUGGCUGGCACUGCAAUCUGACUCUUUCUAAACUCCUCCCUACACAGUCAGCAAGCUGCUCAGCCCCCUCUCCCAAGUCCCCAUGUAGCGCAGGGCUCACCCUGCAGCACCCAGGGAGGAGUUGUCCUACAGAGGAAACCUCUGAGGUAAGACUCUUGGAACAGAAGCUGUGAGUGACAAUGGAUAGGCGAAGAGUCACAGAGAAGCCAAGGUGCCUUGCAGCUGCUCUUUGUCCACCCAGCUUUCAGUGACGAUUUGGAGGUGGAAGUCUGCCAGCAAUGUCCUGAAGCUGACAGACUCAGAAGAGCAAGCAGCACACACAUGGUCCCCAUCAAUUAAAGGAGUGGCCGGAGCUGUCACUACAUCAACAAAGCACAAGAGCAAAAGGAGGUGAUUGAAUACCACCAACUGAACUGUUAGCAAGAGAAUGAGUGGAGGCAAGAAGAAAUCUCUUGUAAGGGGUAUGUGAUUUCCUAUGACAGAUCUGAGGAAGAAUGAAGAGACUUUGCAGAUAAAGGUAUCUUCACCUCGCCAAGAUCAACCACAUCCUACAGAACAUUCAUUCAUUCAGUAAACAGCUGGGCUUUAUGCUAGGCCCUGGGGAAAUGGCAAUUAAGAAGACUCAGUCUCUAUCCUUACACAGCACCCCAUCUGAUAGGGAAAUAGCUCCUGGCCCGCAAUGUGGUAAGCUGCAGUAAUACGUGCAAGGAUCCUGACCUAGUGGCAAUGAUGUUUGAGCCGAGAUCUGAAGGAUAACUAACAACAGCGUGCCAGAGAAAGGAGUAGGGGGUGGAGAGAAGUGGCCAGGGGAAUAUUUCUGGGCUUGGUAAGUAAGCCAGGUCCCUGCCAGACAUGGCCUGAGAAGAGCAAAGCCAGGAGUGACAGUUGAUGAUUAUUUUUUAACUGAGGAAGGAAGAUCCUUCAGAACAGAACUCUUGGGAUCUUCUACCCAGAACACCAGAGCACCUCACAGGGAUCAGAGCCAGGCCCUCAGGUGGAUUAAGCAACUAACAUUGAUCGUCCUGAACCAUGAGUCUAUCUGUUUAUGGGGAAAGAAACUUUGUGAUGAAUUAAUCCACAGGUCCAAUGGGACUUUGACCUUUUAAUUUGUAGAAAUAAAACUUACCUUUGAUUUUGCCA